AAAAGAAAACUGGCUAUUCUACUUACAAAUUUCUCAAACCCAGUUAAAUAUUUUGCUAAACCAAAAACACAACCCUAAUACCAUAAUAACUGGUACAAAUAGACUGCACCUAAAAAAAAAAGAAGCGUAUUCUGAGGGGACUUUCAGCGUCUUUCCUCUCCCAAGACACAAACAAAUCAACUUAAACUUAAGUUGGUGGGCCAACCUACAUUUCUCCAAAUACAUCAAACAACCCAUUUCAGAGAUGCAU
rnacentral:misc_RNA from 1 species